CCUACGGGUGGCUGCAGUCGAGAAUCAUUCACAAUGGGGGAAACCCUGAUGGUGCGACGCCGCGUGGGGGAAUGAAGGUCUUCGGAUUGUAAACCCCUGUCAUGGGGGAGCAAAUGAAAAAGAUAGUACCACAAGAGGAAGAGACGGCUAACUAGGUGCCAGCAGACGAGGUAAUACAGAGGUCUCAAGCGUUGUUCGGAAUCACUGGGCGUACAGCGUGCGGAGGCGGUUUCGCAAGUCGUGUGUGAAAGGCCCGGGCGCAACCCGCAGACGGCACAUGAUACUGCGAGACUAGAGUAAAUGAGGGGGAACCGGAAUUCUCGGUGUAGCAGUGAAAUGCGUAGAUAUCGGGAGGAACACUCGUGGCGAAGGCGGGUUCCUGGACAUUAACUGACGCUGAGGCACGAAGGCCAGGGGAGCGAACGGGAUUAGAUACCCGUGUAGUC
rnacentral:rRNA from 1 species